CCUACGGGAGGCUGCAGUGGGGAAUAUUGCACAAUGGGCGCAAGCCUGAUGCAGCCAUGCCGCGUGUGUGAAGAAGGCCUUCGGGUUGUAAAGCACUUUCAGCGGGGAGGAAGGCGGUGAGGUUAAUAACCUCAUCGAUUGACGUUACCCGCAGAAGAAGCACCGGCUAACUCCGUGCCAGCAGCCGCGGUAAUACGGAGGGUGCAAGCGUUAAUCGGAAUUACUGGGCGUAAGGCGCACGCAGGCGGUCUGUCAAGUCGGAUGUGAAAUCCCCGGGCUCAACCUGGGAACUGCAUUCGAAACUGGCAGGCUAGAGUCUUGUAGAGGGGGGUAGAAUUCCAGGUGUAGCGGUGAAAUGCCUAGAGAUCUGGAGGAAUACCGGUGGCGAAGGCGGCCCCCUGGACAAAGACUGACGCUCAGGUGCGAAAGCGUGGGGAGCAAACAGGAUUAGAUACCCUUGUAGUC
rnacentral:rRNA from 1 species